UGCAGUCGAGCGCAUAGAAGGGAGCUUGCUCCCUGAAGUGAGCGGCGGAUGGGUGAGUAACACGUGGGUAACCUGCCUGUCAGAUCGGGAUAACUGUGGGAAACCGCAGCUAAUACCGGAUAAUCCUUCGCACCGCAUGGUGCGGAGUUGAAAGAUGGUUUCGGCCAUCACUGACAGAUGGGCCCGCGGUGCAUUAGUUAGUUGGCGGGGUAACGGCCCACCAAGACUGCGAUGCAUAGCCGACCUGAGAGGGUGAUCGGCCACAUUGGGACUGAGACACGGCCCAAACUCCUACGGGAGGCAGCAGUAGGGAAUCUUCCACAAUGGACGAAAGUCUGAUGGAGCAACGCCGCGUGAGCGAAGAAGGUUUUCGGAUCGUAAAGCUCUGUUGCUGGAGAAGAACGAGUGCGAGAGGAAAUGCUCGUACUGUGACGGUAUCCAGCCAGAAAGCCACGGCUAACUACGUGCCAGCAGCCGCGGUAAUACGUAGGUGGCAAGCGUUGUCCGGAAUUAUUGGGCGUAAAGCGCGCGCAGGCGGCUUCUUAAGUCUGAUGUGAAAUCUUGCGGCUCAACCGCAAACGGUCAUUGGAAACUGGGAAGCUUGAGUGCAGAAGAGGAGAGUAGAAUUCCACGUGUAGCGGUGAAAUGCGUAGAUAUGUGGAGGAAUACCAGUGGCGAAGGCGGCUCUCUGGUCUGUAACUGACGCUGAGGCGCGAAAGCGUGGGGAGCAAACAGGAUUAGAUACCCUGGUAGUCCACGCCGUAAACGAUGAAUGCUAGGUGUUAGGGGG
rnacentral:rRNA from 1 species